rnacentral:rRNA from 1 species
UACGUAGGGGGCAAGCGUUGUCCGGAUUUACUGGGCGUAAAGAGCGUGUAGGCGGCCAAACAGGUCCGUUGUGAAAACUGGAGGCUCAACCUCCAGACGUCGACGGAAACCGUGUGGCUAGAGUACAGAAGAGAAGAGUGGAAUUCCACGUGUAGCGGUGAAAUGCGUAGAUAUCGGGAGGAACACCAGUGGCGAAGGCGACUACCUGGCCUGUUCUUGACGCUGAGGCGCGAAAGCUAGGGGAGCAAACGGG